rnacentral:rRNA from 1 species
GAUGAACGCUAGCUACAGGCUUAACACAUGCAAGUCGAGGGGCAGCAUGGUCUUAGCUUGCUAAGGCCGAUGGCGACCGGCGCACGGGUGAGUAACACGUAUCCAACCUGCCGUCUACUCUUGGACAGCCUUCUGAAAGGAAGAUUAAUACAAGAUGGCAUCAUGAGUCCGCAUGUUCACAUGAUUAAAGGUAUUCCGGUAGACGAUGGGGAUGCGUUCCAUUAGAUAGUAGGCGGGGUAACGGCCCACCUAGUCUUCGAUGGAUAGGGGUUCUGAGAGGAAGGUCCCCCACAUUGGAACUGAGACACGGUCCAAACUCCUACGGGAGGCAGCAGUGAGGAAUAUUGGUCAAUGGGCGAGAGCCUGAACCAGCCAAGUAGCGUGAAGGAUGACUGCCCUAUGGGUUGUAAACUUCUUUUAUAAAGGAAUAAAGUCGGGUAUGGAUACCCGUUUGCAUGUACUUUAUGAAUAAGGAUCGGCUAACUCCGUGCCAGCAGCCGCGGUAAUACGGAGGAUCCGAGCGUUAUCCGGAUUUAUUGGGUUUAAAGGGAGCGUAGAUGGAUGUUUAAGUCAGUUGUGAAAGUUUGCGGCUCAACCGUAAAAUUGCAGUUGAUACUGGAUAUCUUGAGUGCAGUUGAGGCAGGCGGAAUUCGUGGUGUAGCGGUGAAAUGCUUAGAUAUCACGAAGAACUCCGAUUGCGAAGGCAGCCUGCUAAGCUGCAACUGACAUUGAGGCUCGAAAGUGUGGGUAUCAAACAGGAUUAGAUACCCUGGUAGUCCACACGGUAAACGAUGAAUACUCGCUGUUUGCGAUAUACUGCAAGCGGCCAAGCGAAAGCGUUAAGUAUUCCACCUGGGGAGUACGCCGGCAACGGUGAAACUCAAAGGAAUUGACGGGGGCCCGCACAAGCGGAGGAACAUGUGGUUUAAUUCGAUGAUACGCGAGGAACCUUACCCGGGCUUAAAUUGCAGAUGAAUUACGGUGAAAGCCGUAAGCCGCAAGGCAUCUGUGAAGGUGCUGCAUGGUUGUCGUCAGCUCGUGCCGUGAGGUGUCGGCUUAAGUGCCAUAACGAGCGCGACCCUUGUUGUCAGUUACUAACAGGUUCCGCUGAGGACUCUGACAAGACUGCCAUCGUAAGAUGUGAGGAAGGUGGGGAUGACGUCAAAUCAGCACGGCCCUUACGUCCGGGGCUACACACGUGUUACAAUGGGGGGUACAGAGGGCCGCUACCACGCGAGUGGAUGCCAAUCCCCAAAACCUCUCUCAGUUCGGACUGGAGUCUGCAAACCCGACUCCACGAAAGCUGGAUUCGCUAGUAAUCGCGCAUCAGCCACGGCGCGGUGAAUACGUUCCCGGGCC